rnacentral:rRNA from 1 species
UACGUAGGGGGCUAGCGUUGUCCGGAAUCAUUGGGCGUAAAGAGCGCGUAGGCGGCCAGAUAAGUCCGGUGUGAAAGUCAGAGGCUCAACCUUUGAAUGCCGCUGGAAACUGUCUGGCUAGAGUCCGGAAGGGGCGAGUGGAAUUCCUGGUGUAGCGGUGAAAUGCGCAGAGCUCGGGAAGAACAUCGGUGGCGAAAGCGCUCUACUGGACUGCAACUGACACUGAGGGACGAAAGCUAGGGGAGCGAAUGGG